rnacentral:misc_RNA from 1 species
UUGAAUGAACUUGGUGUGGUUGUUGCUGGCCCUUUUGGGGGCAUGUGCACACCCACCAUUCUCAUCUCUCCACCUGUGCACCUCUUGUAGACUUGGGAUAGAAAUUCCGAGGCAACUCGGUCUGGAGGAAUGCUGCCCUAAGCUUUCUUUGUAUUUCCUCGUCUACGUUUUUCAUAUACCCCUUAGCAUGUAACAGAAUGUAUCAUUUGGGCCCUUGUGCCUAUAAACCUUAUA